AUGCUGUCGGGACUGCUGUUCACGUGACGCUCUUUACGUGAUGCUGUUGACGUGGUCGGGACUCUGUUCACGUGACGCUCUUUACGUGAUGCUGUUGACGUGGUCGGGACUCUGUUAACGUGACGCUCUUUACGUGAUGCUGUUGACGUGGUCGGGACUCUGUUAACGUGACGCUCUUUACGUGAUGCUGUUGACGUGGUCGGGACUCUGUUCACGUGACUGUUGUUAACAUGACGCUUAUAACUGCGCUGUGGCGGACAUGACAGCUCACAGCUCCUCAGAAGCACCGUGAGCUGUCCAGUGAGGGGAUGGUUUCAUGAUCAAAUCUUCAUUUACCGUCCACAUUAUCAGAUGAGGACGUCACCAAAGAGUGUCCUUUGAGUCGAUGUUUACAUUUAUGUAAUUAAGAAGUAGAACAUUUAGUUAACCAUGAUCGGAUACAAGUUGUCAAGGAUAAACGGAAAGAGAAUCAUGUCAGCCCACAGACAACCGGUUGACCUGUGAGUCUUCAAGCAGUAAUGAUGACUACGCCUGCCUUAAGUUCCAGUUUCCUGGACAUGUCAGCAUGAGAUUCUGUCCCCACCUGUCUUCAGUCUGGACCCAAUGAUUCGGACACCAGUCUUGUCGAGGCUAAAUUGAGAUCAAGCAUUGACGGGAAAACACCCAAAGUCCAUCACU